CAAUGAAGGUGUGAAGGACAUUUAUAUGUGUCUGACUCGCCACCAAGUCGAUUCAUCUGGCUGGAGACUAAUUAAAAGGUAAAUACUAAAAGGAGAUGAUGAUCAGCACACAUGCACACUCUCACACACACACACACAUGCAGUGGGACACACUCUCACACACACGUGCAGUGGGACACACUCUCACACACACACGCAAUGGGACACACUCUCACACACACACGCAAUGGGACACACUCUCACACACACGUGCAGUGGGACACACUCUCACACACACACGCAGUGGGACACACUCUCACACACACACGCAAUGGGACACACUCUCACACACACAUGUAGUGGGACACACUCUCACACACACAUGCAGUGGGACACUCUCACACACAUGCAGUGGGACACUCUCACACACAUGCAGUGGGACACACUCUCACACACAUGCAGUGGGACACACACACACAUGCAGUAGGACACACACACACACGUAUGCAGUAGGACACACUCUCACACACACAUGUAGUGGGACACACUCACACACACAUGCAGUGGGACACACACGUGCAGGGGGACACACUCUCACACACACAUGCAGUGGGACACUCUCACACACAUGCAGUGGGACACACACACACACGCAGUGGGACACACUCUCACACACACGCCCAGGGGGACAUACUCUCACACACACAUGCAGUGGGACACACUCUCACACACAUGCAGUGGGACACACUCUCACACACACGUGCAAUAGGAGACACACACACACAAACACGUGCAGUGGGACACACUCUCACACACACAUGCAAUAGGAGACACACACACA
ensembl:lncRNA